rnacentral:misc_RNA from 1 species
GCCUUGCUUCGUUACAGAGUCGAGUUUGAUGGAGGUUUUACAGCCGCUUGUUCUGUAUUAUUUUGCUCGAUUGUGUUAAAUGAAGGCAUCUAAGAUUUUGUGACAUUGUAUAUUAAUAGGAGAAAAAUGUUGUCGGCGCUACGUUUUUACAAGACAAAUCCCCUGAGGAGGAUAAGUACUUAUGUGCUCUUUCCUGAGAUUCCUGAGGACACACCAGAGACAAACUGCCUUCUGAGAACCGGUCAGCCGCCAAAGUACUCGGAACUCACGCCUCUCAAGUGUCACGAUGCUGUCCUCAAGCUGGCCUACCAGUUUGAGUACGAUAUGGCCUGCUACGGGGAUGAUCUUGAAGACACGGGCCGGCUGCUGGCGCGCGCCGAGCCGCUCACCUGCGAUGAGGUGGUGGGGCCGAUCGAGCGGCGCGAGGUGCCCUUCAGCUACGUGUGGUCCACCGUCAAGAACCUGUACACGGUGGACCGGCAGCUGGUGCCGGCGCGCCUCUUCCAGCAGAUCCACGCCGCCGCCGCCAAGGCGCACGUCAGCAAGUACAACAACCCGUCCAUCUACGCCGCCUGCCAGGAGCUGCUCUCGGACCGACACCUGCUCUCAGAGGAGCAGACGCGCGUCGUCGAAAAGUACGCCCGCGACGGCCGGCUGAACGGCCUGGAGCUGCGCGGCGCCGACCUGCGCAAGUUCAAACUGCACUCGAGUAAACUGCGCCGAGAGCAGGCCGACUUUAUCGGUCGUGUGCGCGCCUCGGACGAGGUGUUCCGCCACCGGGUGGUCGAGUACGACCUGGUCAGGGGCAUCCCCGACCACAUUCUGCAGCGGAUGGCGCACAACCCCUCGGAGCCGCGCGCCGGCCCGUGGACGGUCACUCUGGAGCCGGAGGUGUACACCGCCUUCCUGGAGCACUGUCCCAGCGGCGCGCACCGGCUCAACGUGUGGCUGGCGCACGAGAUGCGCUGCUCCAACUUCAACCGCGACCUCAGCAACAGCACCUGCUCGGAGGAGAUCCGCUGGGCCAAGGACGACAUAGCGCGCCUGCUCGGCUACAAGACGCACAUGCAUAAGACGAUGGAGGUCAAGAUGGCCGGCCGCGUCUCGGCCGUGGAAAACAUGAUAGCCAGUCUGCUGGCCGCCGCGCGGCCCGUCCAGGACAGAGAGCUGGAGGAGCUGAACGCGUUCGCCCGCUCCAACGGCGAGCAGCAGCCGCUCGAGAUCUGCGACGUACCCUACUGGCGGCGACGGCACAAACUGAGCACCUUCAGCGCCGAGGAGUCGGACGCGGCCGGACAGUUCAGUCUGGUCGGGGCGCUGCGCUUCCUGACGGAGCUGUCCAGCCAACUGUUCGGAGUCGAAUUCCGAGUGGAGCAGGGAGACGAGGCGGAGCGGUGGCACCCGGAUGUGAUCCGACUCUCGGUCUGGGAGGACGGCCGGCGUCUCUCCGAGCUGCUGGUGGACCCCUACGCCAGGGAGGGCAAGUCGUUCCCGCUGGGCGCCGGCUGGACGUUCACCGGACGGCACCGCAGCGCCAUCUGCGACACCACGCCCAUCUCCUACCUCAACUUCAACUUCCCGCCGCCAGGUGGCAGUGGCCUCAGCUUCCGAGACGUCCAGACGCUCUUUGAGAAGUUCGGCCGCAGUAUGAUGACGCUGCUCUGCACGGUCCGGUACGCGGACGUCAGUGCCCCAAACAACAUGGAAUGGGACGCAGUGGACAUCGUGCCCAACGUCUUCAGAAACUGGCUGCGGGAGCCGGAGACGGUGCGGCGUCUGUCGGCCGCCGCCGGUGCCGGCCCACUCAGCGAGGCCACCUGCCGUCAGCUGAUCGCCGCCGGCGACCACCUGCAGGGACACGACCUGUGCCGGCAGCUGUACAUGGCGCAGCUCGACCUGAAGCUGCACCUCGGGAAGGACGGCUUCUGGCUGAACCUGCAGCAGGAGCUCUACAGCCAGUUCCUGCCGUUCCAGCUGAACAGCAAGGACGCGCACACCAUGAGUUUCGUACAGUCGCUGGCGCAGGACCUCGGCGGCGGCGUGUACAGCGCACUCUGGGCCCGGAUGAUUGCCGCCGACGUGUCGGCCGCCUUCAGCGAGUGCGCCGGCGACACGGAGCAGCUGCGCGCCGUCGGAAAAAGGUUCCGGGACACGUACCUGUCGGCCGGCGGCGCCGUCCACCCGUCCGAGGUGUUUCGCCGGUUCCGCGGCCGAGACCCCACCUGUGACGCCUUCAUCCGGCUGCACGGCCUGCACCGACUGGGCCGGCAGCAGCAGCACGGCUGAGCGGCCCGGCCCGGCCCGGCCCGGCCCCGUGCCGCUGUACCAGACCGCAGGACUGCAGCACCGCGGCCCAGUGUUGUUGUAUUGUGUUGUUAUCGGAGGCGGCUGUCAGUCUGUGCCGCCGCCGCCGGCCGGCCGGCCGCUGUGGACCGGUCCGCCCGCGCAGUACACACUGUACACAGUACGCAGUGUCCCGGCGCGGCGCGGCGCCGCUGGGAGCGUCCCCGUCCCCGGGCGUCUGCCGGCGCCGGCGCGGCCGGUGUCCGGUGGCUGAGCAGUGAGCAGGGGGCCGGGUGAGCGGCUGGCGGUGUCACGCCGCCGGCUCCGACUGCAGCGCCGCCGCCCCCGCCCCCGCCGCUGUCGGCCCGGCUGUUGGCCAGCCGCCGUAGUGUUGUGAUGACUAGGAGCUGUGCAAACGGGAGCCGAGCUGCUGAAUGGCCGAGUGCGAUCGUCCCAAUACAUGAUAGGUCCGGUAUG